AGGACAUGGGUUGAGAUUGGAGAUGGAGGUUGGAAAUGGAGGAACGAGGAUGGAGGACAUAGGUUGAGAUUGGAGAUGGAGGUUGGGAAUGGGAGAACAAGGAUGGAGGACAUAGGUUGAGAUUAGAGAUGGAGGUUGGGAAUGGGGGAACGAGGAUGGAGGACAUGGGUUGAGAUUGGAGAUGGAAGUUGGGAAUGGGAGAACGAGGAUGGAGGACAUGGGUUGAGAUUGGAAAUGGAAGUUGGGAAUGGGGGAAUGAGGAUGGAGCACAUGGGUUGAAAUUGGAGAUGGAGGUUGGGAAUGGGAGAACGAGGAUGGAGGACAUGGGUUGAGAUUGGAGAUGGAGGUUGGGAAUGGGGGAACGAGGAUGGAGGACAUGGGUUGAGAUUAGAGAUGGAGGUUGGGAAUGGGAGAACGAGGAUGGAAGUUGCCAAUGGCGGGAACAAGGGGAACAAAGAUGAAGGUACAAUGAUGGUUGAAAUAGAUGGGUUGAUUUAGUAAAAGCCUCAGUUGCUUUAAAAUUCUCCAAAAAUAUUAAA
rnacentral:lncRNA from 1 species